rnacentral:rRNA from 1 species
CGAAGGAUGCAAGCGUUAUCCGGAUUCAUUGGGUUUAAAGGGUGCGUAGGCGGACUGAUAAGUCAGUGGUGAAAUCUCUUUGCUUAACAAAGAAACUGCCAUUGAUACUGUCGGUCUAGAGUAUAGAUGACGUUGGCGGAAUAUGACAUGUAGUGGUAAAAUACUUAGAUAUGUCAUAGAACACCGAUUGCGAAGGCAGCUAACGAAACUAUAACUGACGCUGAGGCACGAAAGUGCGGGGAUCAAACAGGAUUAGAUACCCUGGUAGUCCGCACCGUAAACGAUGAUUACUCGUUGUUGGCGAUAUGACAGUCAGCGACCAAGCGAAAGCGAUAAGUAAUCCACCUGGGGAGUACGCCGGCAACGGUG